GAAUAAGAGGUCCAGCCUGCCCUGUGACUAUAUGUUUAACGGCCGCGGUAUUUUAACCGUGCGAAGGUAGCGCAAUCACUUGUCUUUUAAAUGGAGACCUGUAUGAAUGGCAUAACGAGGGCUUAACUGUCUCCUUUUUCAAGUCAAUGAAAUUGAUCUCUCCGUGCAGAAGCGGGGAUAAGCACAUAAGACGAGAAGACCCUAUGGAGCUUUAGACACCAAGGUAUAUCAUGCUAAACACCCCAAACAAAAGACUAAGCCAAAUGAUCUAUACCCUUAUGUCUUUGGUUGGGGCGACCGCGGGGAAAUAAAAAACCCCCAUGUGGAAUAGGGGCACUGCCCCUACAACCAAGAGCUGCAGCUCUAAUAAACAGAAUUUCUGACCAAUAAGAUCCGGCAAAGCCGAUCAACGGACCGAGUUACCCUAGGGAUAACAGCGCAAUCCCCUUUUAGAGCCCAUAUCGACAAGGGGGUUUACGACCUCGAUGUUGGAUCAGGACAUCCUAAUGGUGCAGCCGCUAUUAAGGGUUCGUUUGUUCAACGAUUAAAGUCCUACGUG
rnacentral:rRNA from 1 species